rnacentral:rRNA from 1 species
GGAUACGGCCAUACUGCGGAGAAAGCACCGCUUCCCACCCGAACAGCCGAAGUUAAGCUGCGCCAGGCGGUGUUAGUACUGCAGCACCGCAUCGUCGUCGUGGUCG